GAUGAAGAACGCAGCGAAACGCGAUAUGUAAUGUGAAUUGCAGAAUUCAGUGAAUCAUCGAAUCUUUGAACGCACAUUGCGCCCGCCAGUAUUCUGGCGGGCAUGCCUGUUCGAGCGUCAUUUCAACCCUCAAGCCCCCGGGCUUGGUGUUGGGGAUCGGCGUGCCCUCGCGGCGCGCCGUCCCCUAAAUCUAGUGGCGGUCUCGCUGUAGCUUCCUCUGCGUAGUAGCAACACUCGCACUGGAUCGCAGCGCGGCCACGCCGUUAAACCCCCCACUUCUGAAAGUUUGACCUCGGAUCAGGUAGGAAUACCCGCUGAACUUAAGCAUAUCAAUAAGCGGAGA
rnacentral:misc_RNA from 1 species